GAUUCACCUCAGGAAUACAUGGGUGAUUCAACAUAAGGAAAUCAAUUGAUACAAUAUACCACAUUAAUAGAAAUAGAACAGAGGG